rnacentral:rRNA from 1 species
CCCUUAGAUGUUCUGGGCCGCACGCGCGCUACACUGAUGCAUUCAACGAGCCUAUCCUUGACCGACAGGUCCGGGUAAUCUUUGAAUCUGCAUCGUGACGGGGAUAGAUUAUUGCAAUUAUUAAUCUUCAACGAGGAAUGCCUAGUAGGCGCAAGUCAUCAGCUUGCGUCGAUUAUGUCCCUGCCCUUUGUACACACCGCCCGUCGCUCCUACCGAUUGGGUGUGCUGGUGAAAUGUUCGGAUCGGCCGUUUGUCGCGGUUUCCGCGUCAUGUGGCUGAGAAGUUCAUUAAACCCUCCCACCUAGAGGAAGGAGAAGUCGUAACA